rnacentral:rRNA from 1 species
AGAGUUUGAUCCUGGCUCAGAACGAACGCUGGCGGCAGGCUUAACACAUGCAAGUCGAACGAGAAGCUUUCCUUCGGGAAAGUGGAAAGUGGCAGACGGGUGAGUAACGCGUGGGAAUUUACCCAGUGGUACGGAAUAACUCAGGGAAACUUGUGCUAAUACCGUAUACGCCCUCCGGGGGAAAGAUUUAUCGCCAUUGGAUGAGCCCGCGUCGGAUUAGCUUGUUGGUGAGGUAAAAGCUCACCAAGGCGACGAUCCGUAGCUGGUCUGAGAGGAUGAUCAGCCACACUGGGACUGAGACACGGCCCAGACUCCUGCGGGAGGCAGCAGUGGGGAAUAUUGCACAAUGGGCGAAAGCCUGAUGCAGCCAUGCCGCGUGAGUGAAGAAGGCCCUAGGGUUGUAAAGCUCUUUCACCGGGGAAGAUAAUGACGGUACCCGGAGAAGAAGCCCCGGCUAACUCCGUGCCAGCAGCCGCGGUAAUACGGAGGGGGCUAGCGUUGUUCGGAAUUACUGGGCGUAAAGCGCACGUAGGCGGAUUGGUCAGUCAGAGGUGAAAGCCCGAAGCUCAACUUCGGAACUGCCUUUGAUACUGCCAGUCUAGGGUCCGGAAGAGGUGAGUGGAAUUCC